GAUGAACGCUAGCUACAGGCUUAACACAUGCAAGUCGAGGGGCAUCAGGAAGAAAGCUUGCUUUCUUUGCUGGCGACCGGCGCACGGGUGAGUAACACGUAUCCAACCUGCCCUUUACUCGGGGAUAGCCUUUCGAAAGAAAGAUUAAUACCCGAUAGCAUAAUGAUUCCGCAUGGUUUCAUUAUUAAAGGAUUCCGGUAAAGGAUGGGGAUGCGUUCCAUUAGGUUGUUGGUGGGGUAACGGCCCACCAAGCCUUCGAUGGAUAGGGGUUCUGAGAGGAAGGUCCCCCACAUUGGAACUGAGACACGGUCCAAACUCCUACGGGAGGCAGCAGUGAGGAAUAUUGGUCAAUGGGCGCUAGCCUGAACCAGCCAAGUAGCGUGAAGGAUGAAGGCUCUAUGGGUCGUAAACUUCUUUUAUAUAAGAAUAAAGUGCAGUACGUAUACUGUUUUGUAUGUAUUAUAUGAAUAAGGAUCGGCUAACUCCGUGCCAGCAGCCGCGGUAAUACGGAGGAUCCGAGCGUUAUCCGGAUUUAUUGGGUUUAAAGGGAGCGUAGGUGGACAGUUAAGUCAGUUGUGAAAGUUUGCGGCUCAACCGUAAAAUUGCAGUUGAUACUGGCUGUCUUGAGUACAGUAGAGGUGGGCGGAAUUCGUGGUGUAGCGGUGAAAUGCUUAGAUAUCAUGAAGAACUCCGAUUGCGAAGGCAGCUCACUGGACUGCAACUGACACUGAUGCUCGAAAGUGUGGGUAUCAAACAGG
rnacentral:rRNA from 1 species